GACCUGUUGGCGUAGUCGGCAGGGCACCCACAAUAAUUGCGUGCUAAGUUAACUCCUAUGUGGGAGGCCCCAGUUCAAUUCUGGGACGGGUCA